rnacentral:rRNA from 1 species
AUUGAACGCUGGCGGCAGGCCUAACACAUGCAAGUCGAGCGGAUGAAGGGAGCUUGCUCCUGGAUUCAGCGGCGGACGGGUGAGUAAUGCCUAGGAAUCUGCCUGGUAGUGGGGGAUAACGUCCGGAAACGGGCGCUAAUACCGCAUACGUCCUGAGGGGAAAGUGGGGGAUCUUCGGACCUCACGCUAUCAGAUGAGCCUAGGUCGGAUUAGCUAGUUGGUGGGGUAAAGGCCUACCAAGGCGACGAUCCGUAACUGGUCUGAGAGGAUGAUCAGUCACACUGGAACUGAGACACGGUCCAGACUCCUACGGGAGGCAGCAGUGGGGAAUAUUGGACAAUGGGCGAAAGCCUGAUCCAGCCAUGCCGCGUGUGUGAAGAAGGUCUUCGGAUUGUAAAGCACUCUAAGUUGGGAGGAAGGGCAGUAAGUUAAUACCUUGCUGUUUUGACGUUACCAACAGAAUAAGCACCGGCUAACUUCGUG